rnacentral:rRNA from 1 species
GGAUCCUACGGGGGGCAGCAGUGAGGAAUAUUGGUCAAUGGUCGGGAGACUGAACCAGCCAAGCCGCGUGAGGGAUGAAGGUACAGAGUAUCGUAAACCUCUUUUGUCAGGGAACAAAGGCGGGGACGUGUCCCCGGGUGAGUGUACCUGAAGAAAAAGCAUCGGCUAACUCCGUGCCAGCAGCCGCGGUAAUACGGAGGAUUCGAGCGUUAUCCGGAUUUAGUGGGUUUAAAGGGUGCGCAGGCGGCCUGUU